AUAAGGGCUAGCCAACUGUUAUAUCUGUCACCCCAUUGAUCAUCAGGAUUUGCGGAACUAAGCAGGUGUCCCCUUCCUCUCUCCCUGCUUGUAUGUGCCUCUUUCAAACUGCACUCAGUUGAAGAGGACAAACUUUCCUAAUAGAGGAGGCCUACUCUUUGGUCAAGGGGAUAUGAGGAUCUACAAGCCCUCAAGGUAAGUGCUCUACUACCGAGAUAACUCUAUAGCACUCUAAAUAGUGUGCAACCAGUAUUUUCUCCAU
ensembl:misc_RNA 7SK 7SK RNA